CCUACGGGAGGCAGCAGUGAGUAAUAUUGGUCAAUGGACGAGAGUCUGAACCAGCCAAGUAGCGUGCAGGAUGACUGCCCUAUGGGUUGUAAACUUCUUUUAUAUGGGAAUAAAAUGUUCCACGUGUGGGAUUUUGUAUGUACCAUAUGAAUAAGGAUCGGCUAACUCCGUGCCAGCAGCCGCGGUAAUACGGAGGAUCCGAGCGUUAUCCGGGUUUAUUGGGUUUAAAGGGAGCGUAGGUGGAUUGUUAAGUCAGAUGUGAAAGUUUGCGGCUCAACCGUGGAAUUGCAGUUGAGACUGGAUGACUAGAGUAUAGAUGAGGUAGGCGGAAUGUGUGGUGUAGCGGUGAAAUGCGUAGAGAUCAUACAGAACUCCGAUUGCGAAGGCAGCUUACUAAACUAUAACUGACGCUGAGGCACGAAAGCGUGGGGAGCAAACAGGAUUAGAUACCCGAGUAGUC
rnacentral:rRNA from 1 species